UGUGGGACCCCCCCAAAAAUGCCCACUGUGUGUAUGGGGGACCCCAAAAACCCCAUUAAAUGUAUGGGGGACCCCAAAACCCCAUUGUCUGUAUGGGGACCCCAAAAACCCCAUUGUCUGUAUGGGGACCCCAAAAACCCCAUUGUGUGUAUGGGGGACCCCAAUAACCCCAUUGUGUGUAUGGAGGAACCCAAUAAACCCUAUUGUGUGUAUGGGGGACCCCAAUAACCCCAUUAAAUGUAUGGGGACCCCAAUAAAUCCCAUUGUCUGUGUGGGGACCCCAAAAACCCCAUUGUGUGUAUGGGGACCCCAAUAAAUCCCAUUGUGUGUAUGGGGACCCCAAAAACCCCAUUAAAUGUAUGGGGGACCCCAAAAACCCCAUUGUCUGUGUGGGGACCCCAAAAACCCCAUUAAGUGUAUAUGGGGGACCCCAAUAAACCCUAUUGUGUGUAUGGGGGACCCCAAUAAAUCCCAUUGUGUGUAUGGGGGACCCCAAUAAACCCUAUUAAUGUAUGGGGACCCCAAAAACCC
rnacentral:lncRNA from 1 species